rnacentral:rRNA from 1 species
GUGGGGAAUUUUGGACAAUGGGCGCAAGCCUGAUCCAGCAAUGCCGCGUGCAGGAAGAAGGCCUUCGGGUUGUAAACUGCUUUUGUACGGAACGAAACGGUCCUGGCUAAUAUCCGGGGCUAAUGACGGUACCGUAAGAAUAAGCACCGGCUAACUACGUGCCAGCAGCCGCGGUAAUACGUAGGGUGCGAGCGUUAAUCGGAAUUACUGGGCGUAAAGCGUGCGCAGGCGGUGCUGUAAGACAGGCUUGAAAUCCCCGGGCUCAACCUGGGAAUUGCGCUUGUGACUGCAGUGCUGGAGUGCGGCAGAGGGGGAUGGAAUUCCGCGUGUAGCAGUGAAAUGCGUAGAUAUGCGGAGGAACACCGAUGGCGAAGGCAAUCCCCUGGGCCUGCACUGACGCUCAUGCACGAAAGCGUGGGGAGCAAACAGGAUUAGAUACCCCAGUAGUCC